UACAGAGGGGGCAAGCGUUAUUCGGAAUUAUUGGGCGUAAAGGGCGCGUAGGCGGCCUGGCAAGUGGAUGGUGAAAUCCCUCGGCUUAACCGAGGAACUGCCGUCCAAACUGCUUGGCUUGAGACCGGGAGAGGUGAGUGGAAUUCCCAGUGUAGCGGUGAAAUGCGUAGAUAUUGGGAGGAACACCAGUGGCGAAGGCGGCUCACUGGACCGGAACUGACGCUGAUGCGCGAAAGCGUGGGGAGCAAACGGG
rnacentral:rRNA from 1 species